GUUUGCUGACAUUCACAAUCCCAUUUUUGGGAUGAAGUGAUUAAACCUUCUGGGUUUGAGGAGAUUUCUCAGCAGUGGAUGGAAUUAUGAACUCUUAAAUCUAAAGAAGCAUCAGAGAUAAUUUAUCCUGGAAAAAAGUCAACGUUCUUCAUUCUUCCUUGAUGUUUCUAGUCAAAUCAGUGAAUUCUUCUGAUUGUUUUCUUUGGGCCGAGAAUUGUUUUUUUUUUGAGCAGAGACUUAGGGGAGUGCACUGCUGUCUAGAUAACAUUCUCAUAGGCAAAUAGCCUUGGUGUGUCUGGCAUCGUGAGCAGUGAGUGGGGAUUUUCCAUCUUUUUCGGUAUUUCCACAGUGGAGUAAACCGUAUUUGCUGGAUCUUCCUUUAGGAU
rnacentral:lncRNA from 1 species